rnacentral:tRNA from 1 species
AGCGGUGUAGAGGAGCCUGGACGUCCUCGCUGGCCUCAUAAGCCGGAGAUCGCUGGUUCAAAUCCAGCCGCCGCCA